CGUUGGUUUCGUUCGUUUAGUUCGCCGCGUGCUUUCGUCCGAGUGACAGUGUCGGGAACCUACCACGGUAGUAGAUCUUACACGGUACGGGCGCGAUUCAGUUCGGGUUAAAAGACUACCUACGGUGCGGAAAGUGGUGCGUGCGAGAGAAGUGGCGACGUGGGCUCCCGGUGUAUGCUCUGUUCCACUAAUACACUAGGCCCUCGAAGGUAUUUUAUUAUUCCUGUUUCUUCGUCGCCGCCGCCGCCGUCGUCGUCGUCAUCAUCGUUCGUCGCGUGUCGCAAUCCUUGCCACUGCCGCCGUUUUUCGAAGGAGAACAGCCGUUAGUUCCACGAGAUUAAAUCCAUAGCGAGAAGUGGCGAGAAACAGCCUAUGAAAUUCAACAGUGUACCGUUCAAUUAAAUUCCUUCAUACACAUACACAAAUGCAAAUGCAAAACGUGUGGAAGCGGGUCAGCAUGUGCUUGAAAUUAUUCAGCUAAAGAAAAUAAAUAUUGGAGUGUAAAGUUUUGUGUCGGUGCCAGGGCCCCCGGAAGAAAGAAGAGCGUGGAAAAAUAAAUGUGAUUAAAUUGAUUGAAAAUUCGUUUGGAAUUAAUUCGAGCGCGAGUUCGGAAAUCGUGUUUUGGGUGGCCGGUGCUUGUUGUCCGUUUUUUUCUUGUGCAUUGGGGUGGUUCUGUGUAUUUAUCAAUGGAAUAACAGAAGCAGCAGCAGAAGAAGCAAAAGCAGCGUUUUUAUGUUUUGAGUGAGCGGCCGUAUAAACCUUCGGCGGUUUGUUGUGAGCGUGAAAUCUUUGUGGAAAGCAAGAGUGAACUUGUUGAAGAAAAGGUUUUUGGUUGGGCCAGCCAAACCGUGCGAAGAAGUGAAAAUCAUUAAUCUGCCGGCUGCACGGUGGUGAAAUAAAGUUCAAAGAAAGCAGUGGGAGCCGUUUUUACAAGAUCAGUGUGAAGAAUACAAAGUUCUUAAUCAAAGUAGAGAGCAGUCAGACGGGAUAACCUACUGCACCGGCAUCAAUCAGCUGUCACGAGCAAAACAACCCGCAUUCAUCAAGUAGGAUUAGUUAACACGCACACACUCUUGCUCGGUUUGUCGACCAGAAGCCAACA